rfam:Lonsdalea quercina strain ATCC 29281 genome assembly, contig: Ga0052894_scaffold00011.11
AUUUCUCUGAGAUGUUUGCCAGCGGGCCAGUCCCCUGAGCCGAUAUUUACAACCAACAGAAUGUUAUGCUUGUGGUUGGUGCGCAUGCUCGGUCCGUCCGAGAAGCCUAAAAACUGCGACGUGACGUUCACCUUGAACCAAGGGUUCAAGGGUUACAGCCUGCGGCGGCAUCUCGGAGAUUCC